CUUUAUAUAUAUAAUAGAUAUUUGACUCUUCAUUUUAUUCAAAGAAAAUUUGUGAUUAACAUUUUUGUCUUUAUUAGAUGAUAAAUUAUAAAUAGUACUUUAUAUGUGACUAAUUUUUUAAAUUUUUUGAAAAUUUUUUAAAUAAGUCGGAUGGUCAAACGUUCGGCACGGAAACCGAAAGUUUGAUUUAUC
rnacentral:pre_miRNA from 1 species